UGCCACGUAUCGCUUUCUACUAAUCUUCUGAAAUUUCUAGAUUUCAUCACUUGUUUGUUAGAUUUCUGGAAACUCAAAUCUUUGAUUCGUGAAAUUAGGUUCCAGCCGGCUACUUUCAAGCUCCGCACACCAUCUUCGCUUCCCCUUGUGUUCAUUUGAUCUGAUUUCCCUCCACUUUCUCCCUCUUCUCCGUGUCAAAUUAUAAUGUGCUCGCUAAUAUAGCUUUACUCUUUUUUGUGCAGCCACCCAUAGUCGUGCUUGUGAGAGAAGUACAUUUUCAUUAUCCGUGAAUGAAUCCAGCUGCUUUGGUCCGGUUGCUUCGACUAUUCUUGCUCUCUCUGUGCUGACGAUGAGCUGAUCCACCAAGUAUACUUCAAGCUUUGAGGUGUGUUAUUAGUCCAGCUUAAAUAGCAUCUUAUCAAUCUAAUAUUCUGUCAUUUUGUAAGUUUAAGUAGGAGCUAAAAUCCUACGUAUGCGUUUAUAUUAUAACAAAAGUCAACAAUCAGUACAAAAAUUGUGAAGUUUCCACCAACAAAUAUAAAAAAGGAAAUAGGAAAAAUGAAAACAGGGGAAUAACAAAUAUCCCGGGAGAGAAUUGUAGGCUAUUGCAGAGUGAUAAAUCUCUGGGUGAAUAUUAGUGAGGAAAAAGAAAGAAGCUUAGCUUGGUUAAAGAGUAGAGGAGAUCCAGUGUAGGUAAAAUGGUUGAUUCAGCUAAUAAGGACAGACUUGCUUCUAUUACUAUUUGUCAUAUAUUAGGCUUUACAAUACUAUUUUUGUCUAUGCUCUGUACAUUUUAAAGUGCAUCAUGUUACUACAUGAGAAAUUGUGUUCGGAGUCAUGAUUUAUCUCUUAACAAAACUAUGCUAAUUGUUCAUUUACCUUGAUGUUAUAUUUGCUAUGUUAGAUAUUGGGACUGCAAACAAAUAAAGUGGUUCACAAGAGAAAAAAUAAAUUUGGUACUCUAUAGCCCCUUUUAGGGGGAUGAAUGCUAAUUUACCUAUGUUUAGUUCUCCCCGUAGUGAGAAGAAGUUUCUACAGUGGGUGAAGCGAGUGUACUUCCAGUUUUAUCGCGAAGAUACAUUUCUGAUUUUGCGAUAUUCCAACCCUAAAAUCUCUCACAGGGUAAGUAAGUUUAUGGUUUCCCAGCUCAGAAUUCUUUCUUCGUCGGCCGCAGCUGGUGAAACUAGUGUCCAUGAGGAAGUCAAUGUGGCUGACAUAGUAAAGCUUGUCCAGUGUCAUCUCAGCUAUGGCAAAAUGUUCCUCUUUCUGUUUGAAGUUAAAUGGACCAUGCGACCAUGCCUGGUGAUUUAAGAGGUGCUACCAGCAGCUGGUAGGAAGAUGACAAAGAAGCACAAGGCCAUUUGGAUAUCUGUACCUAUAUGUGUCUGUAUAGUCUUGACAAUCUGGGAGGAAAGGAACAACUGAUGGUUCGAAGAUACUGCAUCUGCAGACUGAAGUGUACAUGCACACUAGCAUAGAAAUGUUGGUACCUACUAGCUUUUUGGACCAACAAGAUGGACACGACUCAGAAACAUCUAUUGAGUUCCUCAAUGUUUUGGCACUUUUUGUAUGUUUUGUAAUCCAAAAGAUGUACAUAUGGAUCACCUACCUACUUGAGGUUAAUAAAGCUUUGAUUGUUUUUAUCAAACUGUUUGAAAUUUGGCAUUGCAGUGAUUGUGCAUACACUUCUCCUGAGACUAUAAAGCCUUAUUGUUGUUUUGACAAAAUAAUAUACAAGACAUCUCCAACUUCCACACCAUUGGGAUGUGCUGGCACGGGCCAUCUCUGUCUAGUAAUGGUUUUAAAAUAAAAAAUAAAAUAAAAAGGAUCUACCUUUCAUCUUAUUGAGAAAAAAAAAACUUUCUCAAUAAAAUAACUUAAAUUUUGUUGAUUGAAAAUGUUAUAUACUCUUUUAAAAAAAAUAAAAAAAUAAAAUAAACCACCCAGGAUAGAACUAGUGUGAA